CCUUAGCCCCGAUUGAAGUGAAAAUCCUUUUGUGCCGGGGUUCGGCACAAAAGAUUACAACGGAAAGCGGGACGAUGU
rnacentral:sRNA from 1 species